GGGAGAGCUGUCUGGGAGCUGGGGAGAGGCCAUUCCUUUCUCCUACUUCAAGAACAGAAUACGCCAACGUGUCCAGACCCGAGUCCUAAAGUGUGUGGCCCAUAGCUAACGUACAUGGGCAUGGAUUAAUGGCCAUUUCCAGGUGUACAGUAGAGGCUUCGAGUGGCCAGACACCAGUGUGAAACCACCGCUGCCCGUCCUGGGAGCUCUACCUCCCCCCGGGGAGGGCCACACAGCCCUCAGGACAGUGCCACCAGCCCCUCCUCCCACCAGGCAGGAAGGGACAGCCACAUCCAUCCUGUGCCGCCGUCAGAGCCGACCCCCAACCUCGCGUGAUGGAGUCACGAGGUCUUUGUCCCUCUGUGAACUCUUCAGCGCGUUGUGGACAGAGCAACGCCCUGUGCGGAGCAGGAGGCCAGGAGAAGUUGGAUGGGCAGUCUCUUGACAGAGCCAAUUGGAACAGCCAAGAUACCGAAGGCCUGGCAGAGCCGCAGCUGCAGCACCUCCCCAGAGCUGCUAAGCCAUAAAGGAACACGAUCCCAAACAGCAGCAGCCCAAACAGCGGGGAGAACACAAGAGGCCCGGCAGAUGGCCGGCGGUGGACAGUUCUACGCGUCAGCUGUUGUGCCCUGAGUGCAUAACUGGGGGCUGAGAUCCGGGCAUUCCAAGGUUCCCCCAACUCACCCUCCCUCCCCGAGAAUUCCCCCCCGGCC